rnacentral:rRNA from 1 species
UUACGGGAGGCAGCAGUAAGGAAUAUUGGUCAAUGGACGCAAGUCUGAACCAGCCAUGCCGCGUGAAGGAUGAAGGUCCUCUGGAUUGUAAACUUCUUUUAUAUGGGAAGAAAUGUGGAUUUUCUAAUCCACUUGACGGUACCAUGUGAAUAAGCACCGGCUAACUCCGUGCCAGCAGCCGCGGUAAUACGGAGGGUGCAAGCGUUAUCCGGAUUCACUGGGUCUAAAGGGUGCGUAGGUGGACUUAUAAGUCAGUGGUGAAAUCCCGAAGCUCAACUUCGGAACUGCCAUUGAUACUGUUAGUCUUGAAUAUCCUGGAGGUGGGCGGAAUAUGUCAUGUAGCGGUGAAAUGCUUAGAUAUGACAUAGAACACCAAUUGCGAAGGCAGCUCACUACGGGAUGAUUGACACUGAGGCACGAAAGCGUGGGGAUCAAACAGGAUUAGAUACCCUCGUAU